ACUAUACCUUAGGUACUACCUUAAUAACCUUUAGGUAUUACCUUAAUCUACCUUAGGUAUUAUCUUAAUUGACCUUAGGUACUGCCUUAGUUAAGCUUGACAUGUUAUAUUUUGAAUUUUUUUAGUUAAUAAUAACUGUUAUUAUCCUAAAAUGUGGUAUACAUGUGUGAAUUAUAUACGUUUUGUACUAUCUUUUGCAAUAGUCAUUCAUAAUAGCAACUAUGGUAACUACAAUGCUAACUAUUUACCCCAUUUGCUCAAAUUUGACCUUCUUCAACCUGAGUUAUGCUUUAGAGAUUCACGGAAUUGAGCUAAUAAAGUUAAUCCGCCACUACAAGAAACUUCAACGACUGUGGAUAUUGGAUUGCAUUGGAGACAAUGGACUAGGAGUUGUAGCUUCUACUUCUGUGAACUUUGUAGAUGCAGUCUGGCCCUUCCAAAUAUUUAUUGUUAUCUAGUAGUUAUACUUUGUUUAGGUGAAUUGAUUAUUGUAUUUUUAGUUAAUGCAGAUUUAGGGAUAUGUUAUUUAAUUUACCAAAGAUCUCUUGUUUGUAAUUCUCAUUAUCAUAUAUAGUUUUUAGUUAAGAUUUGUCUAUUUCCUCAA